GGGGCGAAAUGCAAGGUCAGCUGGAAUUUGGUUUGCAGACCGACUGAGUUGGGAGGUUUGGGGAUCCUUGAUCUUACCAAAUUCGCGAGAGCUCUCAGAUUGAGAUGGUUGUGGUUUGAAUGGGCGGAGCCCUCCAAGAUGUGGGUGGGCAUGGCCAACCCUUGUGAGAUUCUGGACCGAGAUCUCUUCUAU
rnacentral:rRNA from 1 species